GGGGGGGGGGGGGGGGGGGGGGGGGGGGGGGGGGGCGGGGGGGGGGGCGAGGAGCGGGCGGGUCGGGGGUUAGCGGCGGACGGGGGAGUAACACGUGGAUAACCUACCUAUAAGACUGGGAUAACUUCGGGAAACCGGAGCUAAUACCGGAUAAUAUUUUGAACCGCAUGGUUCAAAAGUGAAAGACGGUCUUGCUGUCACUUAUAGAUGGAUCCGCGCUGCAUUAGCUAGUUGGUAAGGUAACGGCUUACCAAGGCAACGAUGCAUAGCCGACCUGAGAGGGUGAUCGGCCACACUGGAACUGAGACACGGUCCAGACUCCUACGGGAGGCAGCCGUAGGGAAUCUUCCGCAAUGGGCGAAAGCCUGACGGAGCAACGCCGCGUGAGUGAUGAAGGUCUUCGGAUCGUAAAACUCUGUUAUUAGGGAAGAACAUAUGUGUAAGUAACUGUGCACAUCUUGACGGUACCUAAUCAGAAAGCCACGGCUAACUACGUG
rnacentral:rRNA from 1 species